rnacentral:rRNA from 1 species
AGUGAACGCUGGCGGUAGGCCUAACACAUGCAAGUCGAACGGCAGCACAGUAAGAGCUUGCUCUUACGGGUGGCGAGUGGCGGACGGGUGAGGAAUACAUCGGAAUCUACUUUUUCGUGGGGGAUAACGUAGGGAAACUUACGCUAAUACCGCAUACGACCUACGGGUGAAAGCAGGGGAUCUUCGCACCUUGCGCGAUUGAAUUAGCCGAUGUCGGAUUAGCUAGUUGGCGGGGUAAAGGCCCACCAAGGCGACGAUCCGUAGCUGGUCUGAGAGGAUGAUCAGCCACACUGGAACUGAGACACGGUCCAGACUCCUACGGGAGGCAGCAGUGGGGAAUAUUGGACAAUGGGCGCAAGCCUGAUCCAGCCAUACCGCGUGAGUGAAGAAGGCCUUCGGGUUGUAAAGCCCUGUUGUUGGGAAAGAAAAGCAGCAGGUGAAUACCCCGCUGUUCUGACGGUACCCAAAGAAUAAGCACCGGCUAACUUCGUG